rnacentral:rRNA from 1 species
UACGGAGGGAGCUAGCGUUGUUCGGAAAUACUGGGCGUAAGGCGCACGUAGGCGGCGCAGCAAGUCAGGGGUGAAAUCCCGGGGCUCAACCCCGGAACUGCCCUUGAAACUGCAGUGCUAGAAUCUUGGAGAGGCGAGUGGAAUUCCGAGUGUAGAGGUGAAAUUCGUAGAUAUUCGGAAGAACACCAGUGGCGAAGGCGACUCGCUGGACAAGUAUUGACGCUGAGGUGCGAAAGCGUGGGGAGCAAACAGG